rnacentral:lncRNA from 1 species
GUACCAGACUGGUCAAAAUGCUAACCGUACUAUAUUAACACACAGAGCUGGUACCAGACAGGUCAAAAUGCUAACCGUACUGUAUUAACACACAGAGCAGGUACCAGACUGGACAAAAUGCUAACCGUACUGUAUUAACACACAGAGCAAGUACCAGACUGGUCAAAAUGCUAACCAUACUAUAUUAACACACAGAGCAGGUACCAGACUGGUCAAAAUGCUAACCGUACUGUAUCAACACACAGAGCAGGUACCAGACUGGACAAAAUGCUAACCGUACUGUAUUAACACACAGAGCAGGUACCAGACAGGUCAAAAUGCUAACCAUACUAUAUUAACACACAGAGCAGGUACCAGACUGGACAAAAUGCUAACCGUACUGUAUUAACACACAGAGCAGGUACCAGACAGGUCAAAAUGCUAACCAUACUAUAUUAACACACAGAGCAGGUACCAGACUGGACAAAAUGCUAACCGUACUAUAUUAACACACAGAGCAGGUACCAGACUGGUCAAAAUGCUAACCAUACUAUAUUAACACACAGAGCAGGUACCAGACUGGUCAAAAUGCUAACCGUACUGUAUUAACACACAGAGCAGGUACCAGACUGGACAAAAUGCUAACCGUACUAUAUUAACACACAGAGCAGGUACCAGACUGGUCAAAAUGCUAACCAUACUAUAUUAACACACAGAGCAGGUACCAGACUGGUCAAAAUGCUAACCGUACUGUAUUAACACACAGAGCAGGUACCAGACUGGACAAAAUGCCAACCGUACUGUAUUAACACACAGAGCAGGUACCAGACUGGACAAAAAUGCUAACCGUACUAUAUUAACACACAGAGCAGGUACCAGACUGGACAAAAUGCUAACCGUACUACAUUAACACACAGAGCAGGUACCAGACUGGUCAAAAUACUAACCGUACUGUAUUAACACACAGAGCAGGUACCAGACUGGUCAAAAUGCUAACCGUUCUAUAUUAACACACAGAGCAGGUACCAGACUGGUCAAAAUGCUAACCGUACUGUAUUAACAUUCAGGUGGCAGACUGCGCCUCUCAAAUGGCUAGUUGGCUCUAAGGGUAGUCUGAUGCUAUAGGAGUCGUUUUCUUCAGCUUGAUGGAACUUUAAGGCAUACAUACAUCACACCACUGAUAUCAUCACACAUGAUAUGGACGGCUGCAUAGGUUUUUUAUAGGCUUGAAAUGGCAGGGAGAUGUUCCUGUACGGACUCAUACAUCAAAAUGACAAAACCAUGGAUGUGAACUGGAUUAGAGAGGAAAGACAAAGGAUGUUGGAAGGAUUCUCUCUCUCGCGCUCUCUCUCUCUCUCUCUCCCUCUAUCCAUCUUUCCAUAUCCCCUUACCUCUCUUUCUCUCUGUCUCCACAUCUUUCUAUAUCUC